rnacentral:lncRNA from 1 species
UAAUGCUGAUGUGUCAUGUGUGGACUGUUCAGGAGGAAGAUGAUGGUGAUAUCGAGUUUGUGGAGUUCCCUAAGGGGGUGGAGGUAAGCAAUUAGUAAGUAUAUGUAUAUUAGCUAUCAAAAUCAAUAGUGGUGUAUUGAUUUAUAAACUAUAUUGAUUUAUAAUUUUUUAUACAGGUUGAAGGAAUAUGUGCUAGCCUUUUGGUUUUGGUGGCAUGCUUUUAGCCUUUUGGAUGUUGACAGGUUCUAACUUAGAACUUCUAAGGGAGAUAGGAGUCAUAGCCUUUUGGAUGCUGCUAGCCUUUUGUUGGCAUGUUGACAUGCUGCACUUGUGCUGCUAGAGCAGCAGUGCUAGCCUUUUGGUGGUUGACUGCGACUAGUUCUGGUUGUUUCUUUUCAUGGCAGGAAAGUGCAUGUAAAAGUGGCUAAACUAUUACUCACCUAGGAACAGAAUGUACAUUGUCUUUUGUCUAGUCUAGUGGUACAGUCUUGUUGACACAUAAUGAAAAUGUAAAAUUGUAUGUUGUCUAAAUUCUGAAUUUUUAUGAUGCUUGAGUUCAAACUUCA